CGGCGGGCUUACACUGCAGUUCUAGGGCACAUGAGGUCUAUGUCUUUUAGAUUUCGAUGGCGACCGGCGAACGGGUGCGUACACACGUACGUAACUUACCUUUUGCUAGAAAAUAGCCUGAGUGAAACUUGGAUUAAUAUUCUAUAACAUAGUAUUAUUGCAUGAUAAUAUUAUUAAAGCAGAUAUGCGGCAAAAGAUAGGCGUGCGUCUGAUUAGUUAGUUGGUAGGGUAAAAGCCUACAAAGACAAUGAUCGGUAGGGGGCCUGAAAGGGUGAUCCCCCACACUGGUACUGAGAUACGGACCAGACUCCUACGGGACGCAGCAGUGAGGAAUAUUGGUCAAUGGAGGAAACUCUGAACCAGCCACGCCGCGUGCAGGAAGAAGGCCCUAUGGGUUGUAAACUGCUUGUGUAUAGGAAUAACAAUUCUUACGAGAUAAGAAUCAUGAAGGUACUAUACGAAUAAGUGUCGGCACACUCCGUGCCAGCAGACCGCGGUAAUACGGAGGACACAAGCGUUAUCCGGAUUUAUUGGGUUUAAAAGGGGUGCGAUAAGCGGUCAUAAUUACAGUCAGUAGUUGACAAUUGUUUGCAGCUUAAA
rnacentral:rRNA from 1 species